UACGGAGGGGGCUAGCGUUGUUCGGAAUUACUGGGCGUAAAGCGCACGUAGGCGGCUUUGUAAGUUAGAGGUGAAAGCCCGGGGCUCAACUCCGGAAUUGCCUUUAAGACUGCAUCGCUAGAAUUGUGGAGAGGUAAGUGGAAUUCCGAGUGUAGAGGUGAAAUUCGUAGAUAUUCGGAAGAACACCAGUGGCGAAGGCGACUUACUGGACACAUAUUGACGCUGAGGUGCGCAAGCGUGGGGAGCAAACAGG
rnacentral:rRNA from 1 species